rnacentral:rRNA from 1 species
GACGAACGCUGGCGGCGUGCCUAAUACAUGCAAGUAGAACGCACAGUUUAUACCGUAGCUUGCUACACCAUAAACUGUGAGUUGCGAACGGGUGAGUAACGCGUAGGUAACCUGCCUGGUAGCGGGGGAUAACUAUUGGAAACGAUAGCUAAUACCGCAUAAUAUUAAUUAUUGCAUGAUAAUUGAUUGAAAGAUGCAAUUGCAUCACUACCAGAUGGACCUGCGUUGUAUUAGCUAGUAGGUGAGGUAACGGCUCACCUAGGCGAUGAUACAUAGCCGACCUGAGAGGGUGAUCGGCCACACUGGGACUGAGACACGGCCCAGACUCCUACGGGAGGCAGCAGUAGGGAAUCUUCGGCAAUGGACGAAAGUCUGACCGAGCAACGCCGCGUGAGUGAAGAAGGUUUUCGGAUCGUAAAGCUCUGUUGUAAGAGAAGAACGGGUGUGAGAGUGGAAAGUUCACACUGUGACGGUAUCUUACCAGAAAGGGACGGCUAACUACGUG